AGAGCUGGAGGAUGUGGGGCAGCCCCCCAGAGCUGGAGGAUGUGGGGCAGAAUGCAGCCCGGCCGCUCUCCUGCGGCGGCCCUCACGGCAUUGACUGCAAACGAAGCCUGGGUGUCCUGCCCCACUUCUGACCCCUGCCCCAUAGCAGGACCCACAGCCGUAACCUUCUCUUUCGGUCCCGGCAGGAUGCAGCCCCCAGAGCUGGAGGAUGUGGGGCAGAGCUGGAGGAUGUGGGGCGGGGGGGAGGGGGGGGGGGUUAUGCAACCUUUCAUUACAAAANCCCCGGGGGCAGCGCGGCUCUGGGUCCUCCUCAGCCGGCGGCGCGGGGCCGGGCGCGGGGCGGCGCCUUCGGGCCCACCAAGUUCGGGAACCGGAACGUGUUCAUGAAGGAGCACAGCUCCUCCUCCAGCGCCGGCUCCCGCUCCCGCUCCCGCUCCUCGUCCCGCUCACCCGGGCGGCACUUCCGGCGGAGCGAUUCCCACUCCGACUCCGACAGUUCCCUGUCCGGCCCCGAAGUGCGCGUGGGCGCCCGGCAGCGCCUCGGCCCCAAGAACCGGGGGGGGCGCGGGGGGCACGCGGAGCGAGGGCGGAUGCGGAUGCAGCGAGGGAAGAGGCACGACCAGGGCCCCUCCAAGCGCGCCCGCAAGCGCCCGGCCAUGGACUACGAGGACCCCGAGAAGGAGUUCAAGAAGCAGCGCAGGGCCGCGCGCUUCCAGCACGGCCACCCCAAGAAGCUGCGCCCCGAGCCCCUGGUGCUCCCCAUCCACGCCCCCGAGCCCCCCGGCGCCGAGACCCCCGACUGGAGGGAGCUGAAGAUCCUGGGGACCUGCCAGGACAUCACCAAGCGCUACCUGCGCCUCACCUGCGCCCCCGACCCUGCCACCGUGCGCCCCGUACCGGUGAGUGUGGGGUGAUGUGGGGGUGGGGCAGGCCCCUGUGGGGCUGGAGUUGGGUUCUGGGGGUCCCACGUGGGGUUGGGGUUGGGUUUUGGGGGGCAGAAAGGAAAUAUGGUGUUGCAGCGGGACAGGGGUUGGGUUCUGGAGGUUCCAUGUGGGGCUGGGGUUGGGUUCUGGGGGUCCCAUGUGGAUUUGGGGUUGGGUUCUGGGGGGCAGAAAAGAAAUUAGGGGCCACUGCAGGGCAGGGUUGGGUUAUUGGGCAGGAAGUUUGGGGUCACUGUGGGAUGGGGCUGGGUUCUGGGGUUGCUGUGGGGCUGGGCUCGCUAUGGGGCUGGGUUCUGGGGUUGCUGUGGGGCUGGGCUCGCUAUGGGGCUGGGUU
rnacentral:lncRNA from 1 species